CACCGCCUGUUUGUAAGAAGAAAUGGACGGCUUUUUCUCUUUCUCAACACCAACGACAUUUUUCACCUUGAUGGUUUCAACUGCCAGACUGGGUGCUUUACACCUUACAUCGUCCAUUUCUACUUUCAUCUUUCUCUGGACCGAUUCCCCAAUUACUACACACCCCUUUGUAGCGAUGGCCGCACAACAAUCAUCAACACGAGGGAAAGCUCCAUUUUUCGUCGGGCGUUUUGGGACCACAGACAUGGGCAUUCUUAACUGAUCCUUC
rnacentral:lncRNA from 1 species